GAAAUUCGACAGGAUAAACGGGAAUCGGGGAAUUACGAAACUAUAAAACGGACUCUGGUGUCUUGGGAAUUAGAAAACCGCUCAAUGAAUUAAAACUAGUAAAGAAAUUUAGCGAAGCUUUCCUUUAUUAGUACAGCGUAUCAUAAAAAAGUCAAUCCACAUUGCUUAUGUCCGAUCAUUAAGUAAUAUUAAUAAUAAUAACAUUGCUUAUGUCAUUACUAAUAUACUUGCUAUAUAAUAAAACAAACUUAAGGACUAGAUGCAAGCCCAAGGCGGUCUUUAUGCUCCAUAUGAUAUCUUAAAGUGAUUAUCCUAUUUUAAAUAUCUUACAAAGCAAAACUAACAAAACACAAAAUACUUCAAAAUACGCAGAUUUUAAGUUAGCAAUUUAAGUUGGCAAGUACGUUUCUAAAGGACCCAGCCGAACUCUCCUGCAAGCCUUUGGACGUGCUCCACCUUGAGAAGGGGAGGAAAGUCUGGAGGAACGAGAACGUCGCCAACUGGAAAGCUUGGAUACUUUGCUCUGAUGCAGGCUGAUCGGAAAUGAAAAUGCACGUUCUGAGGCUCACUUGAAAACUGGAUUUGUCCUGCAGGGCCUUUUUUAACAUAUAAGCUGGG